AGUAGAAUGGCUGAGUUUAAGCGAUAAAUUGUAAAUUUAUUUACGGAAGUUGUUUCCUUCUGCUA
rnacentral:tRNA from 1 species